rnacentral:rRNA from 1 species
UGGUAGUCCACGCCGUAAACGAUGUCGACUUGGAGGUUGUUCCCUUGAGGAGUGGCUUCCGGAGCUAACGCGUUAAGUCGACCGCCUGGGGAGUACGGCCGCAUGGUUAAAACUCAAAUGAAUUGACGGGGGCCCGCACAAGCGGUGGAGCAUGUGGUUUAAUUCGAUGCAACGCGAAGAACCUUACCUACUCUUGACAUCCAGAGAACUUAGCAGAGAUGCUUUGGUGCCUUCGGGAACUCUGAGACAGGUGCUGCAUGGCUGUCGUCAGCUCGUGUUGUGAAAUGUUGGGUUAAGUCCCGCAACGAGCGCAACCCUUAUCCUUUGUUGCCAGCGCGUCAUGGCGGGAACUCAAAGGAGACUGCCGGUGAUAAACCGGAGGAAGGUGGGGAUGACGUCAAGUCAUCAUGGCCCUUACGAGUAGGGCUACACACGUGCUACAAUGGCGCAUACAAAGAGAAGCGACCUCGCGAGAGCAAGCGGACCUCACAAAGUGCGUCGUAGUCCGGAUCGGAGUCUGCAACUCGACUCCGUGAAGUCGGAAUCGCUAGUAAUCGUGGAUCAGAAUGCCGCGGUGAAUACGUUCCCGGGCCUUGUACACACCGCCCGUCACACCAUGGGAGUGGGUUGCAAAAGAAGUAGGUAGCUUAACCUUCGGGAGGGCGCUUACCACUUUGUGAUUCAUGACUGGGGGUGAAGUCGUAACAAGGUA